AUUGAACGCUGGCGGCAGGCUUAACACAUGCAAGUCGAACGGUAACAUAAAGAAGCUUGCUUCUUUGAUGACGAGUGGCGGACGGGUGAGUAAUGCUUGGGAAUCUAGCUUAUGGAGGGGGAUAACUACGGGAAACUGUAGCUAAUACCGCGUAAUAUCGAAAGAUUAAAGUGUGGGACCUUCGGGCCACAUGCCAUAGGAUGAGCCCAAGUGGGAUUAGGUAGUUGGUGAGGUAAAGGCUCACCAAGCCGACGAUCUCUAGCUGGUCUGAGAGGAUGACCAGCCACACUGGGACUGAGACACGGCCCAGACUCCUACGGGAGGCAGCAGUGGGGAAUAUUGCACAAUGGAGGAAACUCUGAUGCAGCGACGCCGCGUGAGCGAAGAAGUAUUCGGUAUGUAAAGCUCUGUCAGCAGGGAAGAUAAUGACGGUACCUGACCAAGAAGCCCCGGCCUAACUACGUG
rnacentral:rRNA from 1 species